rnacentral:rRNA from 1 species
GACGAACGCUGGCGGCGUGCUUAACGCAUGCAAGUCGAACGGAAAGGCCCCUUUGGGGGUACUCGAGUGGCGAACGGGUGAGUAACACGUGAGUAACCUGCCCUUGACUUCGGGAUAACUUCAGGAAACUGGGGCUAAUACCGGAUAGGAAUCCUUGCUGCAUGGUGGGGGUUGGAAAGCUUCGGCGGUUUUGGAUGGACUCGCGGCUUAUCAGCUUGUUGGUGGGGUAGUGGCUUACCAAGGCUUUGACGGGUAGCCGGCCUGAGAGGGCGACCGGCCACAUUGGGACUGAGAUACGGCCCAGACUCCUACGGGAGGCAGCAGUGGGGAAUAUUGCACAAUGGGCGGAAGCCUGAUGCAGCAACGCCGCGUGCGGGAUGACGGCCUUCGGGUUGUAAACCGCUUUCAGCAGGGGCGAAGCUUGUGGUGACGGUACCUGCAGAAGAAGCACCGGCUAACUACGUG